UGAGGAAUAUUGGUCAAUGGGCGGCAGCCUGAACCAGCCAUCCCGCGUGAAGGAAGAAUGCGCUAUGCGUUGUAAACUUCUUUUUCAGGGGGAUAAAAUUCUGUAUGUAUACAGGACUGAAGGUACCCUGAGAAUAAGCAUCGGCUAACUCCGUGCCAGCAGCCGCGGUAAUACGGAGGAUGCGAGCGUUAUCCGGAUUUAUUGGGUUUAAAGGGUGCGUAGGCGGAAUAAUAAGUCAGUGGUGAAACCCUGCAGCUUAACUGUA
rnacentral:rRNA from 1 species